rnacentral:lncRNA from 1 species
UGGGGGCUGGGGCUGGGGUCAGGGCAGGAGGUGGGGUCUGGGGGGUGCGGUUUAAGAAGAGAAAGGGGCCAGGCAGAUGGAGAGGCCAAGGCCUGGAGAUAAAGCCGAUUGGUGUGUCAGCAAAAUCUGUCCUGGGCUUUGGUGAUUCGAAAGGCAGACACAUUCUUUCAUCUCUGUUAAUCCUCAUCUGAUACAGGAUUUUCCUGCCAUUAAAUCUGGAGAAAGCAGAAUAAACACUCGAACCUGCACAAGCAAUUCUUUCCCCUCGACUCCUGCUCACCAUCUCCCUGCCCCCCGCCACCCCCACUUUACUUCUCUGCUGGACCAUUUUUUAGCGACUGUGGCUGCCAGACUUGGGAGAUGGAUGGGCUUGGGGAGCUGAAGGGCGCCUCGGAGGAGGACCAGGACCAAGCAGAGCCCCAGGACAGUAGGGAUUCCACAGCUGGGUGGUUCUAAGCCACCAGGUGCGUGAAAGGCCACGGGAUGCUGGUCCUACUGCUGCAUGGUGGGACAGCUCUCUACCCUAAGAUCCACAGGACCUGUGAGGCUGUCAGCAGACCACCCUUCCUGAGACCCACCAGUUCCUCCAUCCAUCAUGGCUCACAUUAAUCAGCAAAGCUAAGGGGCACAAGAUCUUUGAAAACAAUGAGGAUGAAGAAACACUUCAAACUCAGCCUGUGGUUGGAAACUCCAUGAGUAACUGUUCUCCUUAGCAGACCUCAAGGGGGAAAAGCACAU